UAAAGCUAGCUAACCGAAUGUA
rnacentral:miRNA from 1 species